CCAGAGCGUGCACUGUGACUACUUCUACUACAUAUCUGAAUGUUUGUCUACACUACGCAGGUCUACUUACUUUGUUGAUUCUCAUUAUAGAUAUUUGAUACUGGAGCUGCUGGAAGGGGUGGCGGCGUAUCACCGUGGUCAGGUUGAUAAGUCAAUGAAGGUGUUGACUUAUGUACAAGAGUUGUUCACCCAGUUUCAGGUGCUGGAUGAAUCUCUUUCUCUUGUGAUGAUUAUGGGCUUCAGAGAACGAGAUACAAAAAGGGCACUGAGGAUGAGCAAUCAAGAUGUUUCCAUCAGCCCUGUAUAGUUGUUAGUCAUCCUAAGAGUUUCUUGACUUUGCAGGUUUGAAAAGGAGCUUGCAGCUGAAGCACUAUGAGGAAAUAACAGUGGAGAAGGCAUUGGAUUUGACAAAUCCAGAGACCAAUUCUUCUAUACAGCAGUCUUAGCUUUGCAAGGUGGAGGGACAAUGGACCAAGCAAUCUGUCCACUGCUCUCGAGACAGGCACCAAACCCCACAGAUGCUGCUAACCAAUCUGAGGCAUUCCUGCAGUCAAUGCUAACAACAAUAGUCAAUCCGAUGUUGCAAUUGACAUUGCAAAUUCUCUUGCGUCAAUGCUUGAUAAUCAAAAUGGUCAAGUUGGAGGUCCUUCAACGUCUAGUAUUGCAUCAGAGCGUGAACUUGCUGAAGAACUAGCACAAGGAGAUGCUUUCACUAACUAUGAUAUUGAAGUUACUAGACAAGGUGAAGUCAUAAGUGAGUACUUGGCUCUACUGAAUUCAGCGGGAACAAAGUGAAUAUCACUCUGCCAAUAAGAAUUGCGACUUUAACAACCAUGCAUGUACAUGUAUAAUAACAAUAGGUCAAGGAUCUAGUUAUGGUGAUGGUAUUCCAGAUGAUCAAUGUCUUUGAUCCGGCAUUUUCCCGACUAUUCCAAGACUAA